GAGAACUUAAGUGACCCGCCCAGAGUCCCACAUGGAGUCAGUGGCAGAAUUGGAAAUGGAACCCAGAUCUUGAGUUCCAGGCCUGUGCUGAACCACACGAGCACCUUUUUUCCUAGUGAACAUGAUAUGUGUAGCUGGAGGAGGAGCAAUGAGAGACAGGACAAUACCUCUUAACUUAAAAGAAAAUGGCUGCAAGCAGGAACCAAGGGCCGGGUCUGGAACCUGGGAGCCACACUGUUGCAGCAGGAGAGGUACACUUUGUAAGAGCAAUACUGGACCUGAGGCACAGCAGCAGUAUUCCACCCAUGUUGACAGCAUUGUCCAGUCAAGAGGGCACUGGGCUGGCAGGUAGUCCCAGUUCUGCCAUUGACCAGCUGUGUGAC